rnacentral:rRNA from 1 species
UACGGAGGGGACUAGCGUUGUUCGGAAUUACUGGGCGUAAAGCGCACGUAGGCGGAUUUGUAAGUCAGGGGUGAAAUCCCGGGGCUCAACCUCGGAACUGCCUUUGAUACUGCAAAUCUCGAGUCCGGAAGAGGUGAGUGGAAUUCCUAGUGUAGAGGUGAAAUUCGUAGAUAUUCGGAAGAACACCAGUGGCGAAGGCGACUUACUGGACGACUGUUGACGCUGAGGUGCGAAAGCGUGGGGAGCAAACAGG